GGUUUUUAACUAGGGUUUAGUUUCUCCAUAGCAGGUAAAUGUUACCAAGGUGUAACUCACUUCUUUGGAGGAGAUCAAACGUCCAGAUUCCUAGAAAUUACGGGAAUGAAUGAAGUACUGAGGAAAGAAGCAGCAUGAAGUGACAACUCUUCCAUCCUACAGGGAACUGCAUCAGUGGUGUCAGAGAAGCACCCUCGAAGAAACAGACCGGCCAAGUCAUCAGGGGGAGAAGCAAGAAAACAUUCCAGUGCAGGAAUGGGGAACCCAAGCUGAGUCAGAGACGGAGUCAGGAGUCGGGGCGGCCGGAUCACUCGGGUGUUCGGGGUGUGUGCAGGAGCCCAGACGGCUGCGCAGAGGAGGCCUUCCGAGUCUCCAGGUGAGUGCUGAGCACAUCAAUCCCCAAGGAUGGGUCAAAACUCCCAAAAAAGGCAGAAAAAUUCUUGACCUGGAGAAAGUUCGUGUUUCCGAAACCGAACUAGAAAGCCGCAUACGAACAGGCAGCUACGGCGGCGUGCGGGAGGAGAUGCUUCAGCAGUGAGGGCCGUCGGAACCGCACCCACCCACGUCAGGCUUAGAAGCAAAUCUUGACGUGACCAGGUAACUUCCAGGUAAUUGCAUUUCAAAACAAAGCUUAAAAGGCUUUCAGGUACACACAUACAAAACUAAGCGAUGUCAAGUCAAAUUUAUAUCCCAUAUUACCAGGCAUGCAAGAAAGUAGAAAACUGUGACCCAGCGUGAUACCUACAAAUCAACUUAAAGAUACUGUGUUAAACGUCUUUUGUCCAUAUCUGCUAUUUCUAAUAUAAAUGGUUAACAGAAAGAAAAUGCCUGUUAAUAAGAAACAUGAAUUUUUUGUAAUGAGAUUUCCGUAAGUGCAAAUACAUUGCAGAGGGUGAGAAGCAAAUAGUAGAGAAUGAUAGGUGAGUGAACUCGAAGGCACAGAAAUAGACACUACCCAAAAGGAAAGAAACAGAGCAGGAAAAUGUAGAGGACAUUAGUAAAGCUGAGGAAAGAUUCAAGCAGCCUAGUAUGUAUGUAAAUGGAAUCCCAAGGGAGGUAAAUGAGAUUGUGGUACAGAAAAUUUAUUCUCAAAGUAACCAAACACAUUUCCAGUUAUUUUCACAAAACACGGACAUAAAAAAUUAAGAAUACUAGCAUAUUCUUUAAUACAAUUAAAACUGCAAAUUCUGCCAUAAAGAUCUUAAAAGCAAGCAACAGUUAGGGCCCUCCCUGGUGGCGCAACAGGUUAGGACGCAGCACUGCA